GACGAACGCUGGCGGCGUGCUUAACACAUGCAAGUCGAACGGCGAAGGAGAGCUUGCUCUCCGGAUCAGUGGCGAACGGGUGAGUAACACGUGGGCAACCUGCCCCAGACUUCGGGAUAACGCUUCGAAAGAGGUGCUAAUACCGGAUACGAACUCCUUGGGCAUCCUUGGAGUUGGAAAGUUUUUCGGUCUGGGAUGGGCCGGCGGCCUAUCAGCUUGUUGGUGAGGUAACGGCUCACCAAGGCGACGACGGGUAGCCGGCCUGAGAGGGCGACCGGCCACACUGGGACUGAGACACGGCCCAGACUCCUACGGGAGGCAGCAGUGGGGAAUAUUGCGCAAUGGGCGAAAGCCUGACGCAGCAACGCCGCGUGAGGGAUGACGGCCUUCGGGUUGUAAACCUCUUUCAGCAGGGAAGAAGCGAAAGUGACGGUACCUGCAGAAGAAGCACCGGCUAACUACGUGCCAGCAGCCGCCGUAAGAC
rnacentral:rRNA from 1 species